AACGAACGCUGGCGGCAGGCUUAACACAUGCAAGUCGAACGCAUCCUUCGGGGUGAGUGGCAGACGGGUGAGUAACGCGUGGGAACGUGCCCUUCAGUUCGGGAUAACCCAGGGAAACUUGAGCCAAUACCGGAUAUGUGCGAGAGCAGAAAGAUUUAUCGCUGAAGGAUCGGCCCGCGUCUGAUUAGCUAGUUGGUGGGGUAAUGGCCCACCAAGGCGACGAUCAGAAGCUGGUCUGAGAGGAUGAUCAGCCACAUUGGGACUGAGACACGGCCCAAACUCCUACGGGAGGCAGCAGUGGGGAAUAUUGGACAAUGGGCGCAAGCCUGAUCCAGCCAUGCCGCGUGAGUGAUGAAGGCCUUAGGGUUGUAAAGCUCUUUCGUCCGGGACGAUAAUGACGGUACCGGAAGAAGGAGCCCCGGCUAACUUCGUGCCAGCAGCCGCCGUAA
rnacentral:rRNA from 1 species